rnacentral:rRNA from 1 species
UGGGGGAUAACGCACCGCAAGGGUGCUAAUACCGCAUAAUCUCUACGGAGAAAAGCAGGGGAUCGCAAGACCUUGCGCUUUAGGAGCGGCCGAAGACAGAAAAGCAAGAAGGUGAGGUAAAGGCUUACCAAGGCUUCGAUCAGACACUGGUCUGAGAGGACGACCAGCCACACUGGCACUGAGACACGGCCCAGACUCCUACGGGAGGCAGCAGUGGGGAAUUUUGGACAAUGGGGGAAACCCUGAUCCAGCCAUGCCGCGUGAGUGAAGAAGGCCUUCGGGUUGUAAAGCUCUUUCAGCCGGAACGAAACGGUCACGGUUAAUACCCGUGAUCACUGACGGUACCGGAAGAAGAAGCACCGGCUAACUACGUGCCAGCAGCCGCGGUAAUACGUAGGGUGCGAGCGUUAAUCGGAAUUACUGGGCGUAAAGCGUGCGCAGGCGGUUUUGUAAGUCAGAUGUGAAACCCCCGGGCUCAACCUGGGAACUGCGUUUGAAACUACAAGGCUAGAGUGUAGCAGAGGGGGGUGGAAUUCCACGUGUAGCAGUGAAAUGCGUAGAGAUGUGGAGGAACACCGAUGGCGAAGGCAGCCCCCUGGGUUAACACUGACGCUCAGGCACGAAAGCGUGGGGAGCAAACAGGAUUAGAUACCCUGGUAGUCCACGCCCUAAACGAUGUCAACUAGUUGUCGGGUCUUAACGGGCUUGGUAACGCAGCUAACGCGUGAAGUUGACCGCCUGGGGAGUACGGUCACAAGAUUAAAACUCAAAGGAAUUGACGGGGACCCGCACAAGCGGUGGAUUAUGUGGAUUAAUUCGAUGCAACGCGAAAAACCUUACCUACCCUUGACAUGUACCGAAGUCCGCUGAGAGGUGGAUGUGCCCGAAAGGGAACGGUAACACAGGUGCUGCAUGGCUGUCGUCAGCUCGUGUUGUGAGAUGUUGGGUUAAGUCCCGCAACGAGCGCAACCCAAUGUCAUUAAUUGCCAUCAUUCAGUUGGGCACUUUAAUGAGACUGCCGGUGACAAACCGGAGGAAGGUGGGGAUGACGUCAAGUCCUCAUGGCCCUUAUGGGUAGGCUUCACACGUAAUACAAUCGCG